rnacentral:rRNA from 1 species
GUGGGGAAUCUUGCGCAAUGGGCGAAAGCCUGACGCAGCCAUGCCGCGUGAAUGAUGAAGGUCUUAGGAUUGUAAAAUUCUUUCACCGGGGACGAUAAUGACGGUACCCGGAGAAGAAGCUCCGGCUAACUUCGUGCCAGCAGCCGCGGUAAUACGAAGGGGGCUAGCGUUGCUCGGAAUUACUGGGCGUAAAGGGCGCGUAGGCGGACAGCUUAGUCAGAGGUGAAAGCCCAGGGCUCAACCUUGGAAUUGCCUUUGAUACUGGCUGGCUUGAGUUUGGGAGAGGUGAGUGGAACUCCGAGUGUAGAGGUGAAAUUCGUAGAUAUUCGGAAGAACACCAGUGGCGAAGGCGACUCACUGGCCCGUUACUGACGCUGAGGCGCGAAAGCGUGGGGAGCAAACAGGAUUAGAAACCCUAGUAGUCC